rnacentral:rRNA from 1 species
GUGAUCUGCCCUGCACUUCGGGAUAAGCCCGGGAAACUGGGUCUAAUACCGGAUAGUACUGCGCGGUGCAUGCCGUGUGGUGGAAAGAUUUAUCGGUGCAGGAUGGGCCCGCGGCCUAUCAGCUUGUUGGUGGGGUAAUGGCCUACCAAGGCGACGACGGGUAGCCGGCCUGAGAGGGCGACCGGCCACACUGGGACUGAGACACGGCCCAGACUCCUACGGGAGGCAGCAGUGGGGAAUAUUGCACAAUGGGCGCAAGCCUGAUGCAGCGACGCCGCGUGAGGGAUGACGGCCUUCGGGUUGUAAACCUCUUUCAGCAGGGACGAAGCGCAAGUGACGGUACCUGCAGAAGAAGCACCGGCCAACUACGUGCCAGCAGCCGCGGUAAUACGUAGGGUGCAAGCGUUGUCCGGAAUUACUGGGCGUAAAGAGCUCGUAGGCGGUUUGUCGCGUCGUCUGUGAAAACCAGCAGCUCAACUGUUGGCUUGCAGGCGAUACGGGCAGACUUGAGUAUUUCAGGGGAGACUGGAAUUCCUGGUGUAGCGGUGAAAUGCGCAGAUAUCAGGAGGAACACCGGUGGCGAAGGCGGGUCUCUGGGAAAUAACUGACGCUGAGGAGCGAAAGCGUGGGUAGCGAACAGGAUUAGAUACCCUGGUAGUCCACGCCGUAAACGGUGGGCGCUAGGUGUGGGUUUCCUUCCACGGGAUCCGUGCCGUAGCUAACGCAUUAAGCGCCCCGCCUGGGGAGUAC